AUUGAACGCUGGCGGCAGGCCUAACACAUGCAAGUCGAGCGGAGCGGCGGACGGGUGCGUAAUGCCUAGGAAUCUGCCUGGGCGUGGGGGAUAACGUCCAGAAACGGGCGCUAAUACCACAUACUAUCAGAUUAGCCUAGGUCGGAUUAGCUAGUCGGUGGGGUAAAGGCCUACCAAGGCGACGAUCAGGAACUGGUCUGAGAGGAUGAUCAGUCACACUGGAACUGAGACACGGUCCAGACUCCUACGUGAGGCAGCAGUGGGGAAUAUUGGACAAUGGGCGAAAGCCUGAUCCAGCCAUGCCGCGUGUGUGAAGAAGGUCUUCGGAUUGUAAAGCACUUUAAGUUGGGAGGCGUUACCAACAGAAUAAGCACCGGCUAACUUCGUGCCAGCAGCCGCGGUAAUAC
rnacentral:rRNA from 1 species